AUCCGGCCUGGAAGUUGUUUUCCGUAAGCAAGUCGAUGUCAAAACGGCUGGUAAGAUGCCAAACGGCUGAUAAGAUGCCAAACGGCUGGUAACGAGUUAAGACUACCACCUAAGUAGGUCAUAGGAUUUGAACGCAGAAUGCAAAGAGAUGGAACAAAUACCGCAUGGCAUCCAGUUUGAUGUGCUAACAGUUCUGUCAAAUCACUACAUUGGUGUUUUUUUUAUUAACUACAAAAGGACAAAAAGCAAAGUUGACCUCGUAGGGUUAGAACUCAGGGCUUAGGGAGUCAGAAAAAUAUCGUAAAGCAUUUCGUCAGACUCCUAUUGUAAGGCCACUUUGUCGCCUGCCAAUAGGAAUGCUGAAGGCACCAAAAGGACCAAAUAGCGGUGUUAAAUCGAGCGAUGGAGGAAAUCUAUCACUCAAACAAAAAUAGUGAUGCAUACAAGGGAAGGAAGACAGAGAAAUGUCGCGGAAAUACUUCGAUGUUAUACUUCUCAGGACUAUGAAAAAUAUCGUCUUUGAAAGGUGAAAUAGAACACUAGCUCAUUAUUCGAAGUCCAACAUUGCACUAUCGUUGAACUGUCUUUUCUUAUUGUGUGCAAUUCUAAAUAUCUAUCGACUGUUUACGAACUGAAUUUAUGGAGACCGAUGUCAUUAUUAUACGUUUCAAGAAAUUCAACAGAUUUAUGAAAAUAUUUUGACUUCAAGCUACUAAUUUAGGUAUUUGUUUGAUUACUAAGCAGCUUGCAUGGCUAACAUGAUUUUCUCUGGAAUUAAUGGCUACGUACGAAGUGUAAAAACAGACUACAUAGAACUACAACAGUUCUAUAUCUUAAAACACGUAUCAAUCAUCGCCAUUUUAACUUUGUUACCCAGACAUCUUCCCAUCAAACAAUUAGUCUCUAAUUUCCUUAUGUGUUCGCUACUAUCAAUGUUGGUUUUUUUAUUAGUGUAACUCGAUUCCAACCAAUAAAGCGACUAAUAUGAUAUCUUAAA